UACGAAGGGGGCUAGCGUUGUUCGGAAUUACUGGGCGUAAAGCGCACGUAGGCGGAUCGAUCAGUCAGGGGUGAAAUCCCAGGGCUCAACCCUGGAACUGCCUUUGAUACUGUCGAUCUGGAGUAUGGAAGAGGUGAGUGGAAUUCCGAGUGUAGAGGUGAAAUUCGUAGAUAUUCGGAGGAACACCAGUGGCGAAGGCGGCUCACUGGUCCAUUACUGGACGCUGAGGUGCGAAAGCGUGGGGAGCAAACAGG
rnacentral:rRNA from 1 species